rnacentral:hammerhead_ribozyme from 1 species
AUUCAGCUGACGAGUCCGAAAUAGGACGAAACUCACAUUUUGGAU